rnacentral:lncRNA from 1 species
AAAUGGACCCCGGGCCAAUUGGCUAAGUAAGUUUUGGUGUUUGAUGAUUAACACAAUCUGUGGACUAACAAGUUUUCUAGUGUUUAUGAUUGUAGUUCACAGGAUGCAAGAACUACUUGGACUAAGGAAUUGAGGAAAGCAACACCUCAAAAGAAGACAUUAAGAAGAUCAAGAAAAGUCCAAGAAAGGAGGCGUGUGCUGCCUGCGGACUGUCUGUGCGUGGAGCACCGGACUGUCCGGUGCCCACACACCAGACUGUCCGGUGCACCUAGGAACUGCAGCCCAACGGCUAGUUCCAGGUGGCACCCGGAGCCUACGGCGCCAACGGUCACCUGCUCUGACAGGAGUCGGACAGGCAACGGCUAGGCGCACCGGACAGGCUACAGUGCGCUGUCCGGUGCACCACCGGACUGUCCGAUGCACACCGGACUGUCCGGUGUGCCGCAGAGAGCAGCAGCUUUUCUCCAACGGCUACAAUUGUGUUGGGGGCUAUAAAUACACCCCCAACCGGCCAUUCUCAAGUGUGGGAGCCCAAGCAACAUAUCAAGGCAUAUUGUAGACAUUUCCAAGUGCUCAAACACCCAAGUGCUUAAUAGAAUCACUCGGUGAUUAGCGUAGGUGCUUUGCGAAGUGCUUAGGUUAGUUAGACCGCAUUAGCGCUUGCUCUAGGUGAAUCCUAGUUAGUUGAGUGAGUUUAGACAAACCACACAACCCCUCGGCUCUUGCGCGGGCCGUUGUAAUUGUACCGAGUGGGGCGAGAGUCUUGCGAGACCGUGACAACCGUGUUUGUGUCAUAGCCGCCACCGUGUACCGGAGGGAACGAGGCCCGCGGCGUUUCAGCCGGAAGCUCGAUAGUUGAGACGGCGGGGAGCGUCCGAGAGGAGCCGGAAGCGGAGCACCACUUGCGCGUGGAGAAGGCCCGCGGCUCUCUACGGAGUUACUCGACCGAGGUGCUUGGCCCUCGCGUGGGCUUCCCUUCGCGUAGGGGCACCAACGAGGAUUAGUCGGGACCUUGCACGGUUCCGGAUACCUCGGUAAAAAUACCGGCGUCUUCCACGAGAGUUUGCUUCUCUACUUAGCUCUUUACAUUCCGCAUUUAUAUUAAGCAUUUAAGUUUCAAUCUUGUAGUCAUACUUAUUUAGUGUAGAUUGAAAUUUAGCCUUUGCGGUAGAGAUAGCAACACUUAGACAAAACCUAGUUUGCACAUUCUAGUUUUGAUUAUUUGCAUAGGUUUUGCUCUAGGGAUUUAAUUGUGGCCUAGUUUAGCGAAAGUUUUAGAAGUCCUAAUUCACCCCCCCUCUUAGGCGUCACCCGUUUCCUACAAGUGGUAUCAGAGCCUGGUUUGGCUCAUUUGAAACGUUUUUAGCUUCACCGCUAAAAGAGCCGACGCUUUUUAGAGGAAGGGAUGGAUACCCAUAGGCCACCACACUUCGACGGCACUAACUUCCCAUAUUAUAGUGCUAGAAUGGCUUGCUACCUAGAGGCCGUUGAUCUAGGUGUUUGGAGAGUCACUCGUGACGGGAUGAAACCCCUCAAGAAUCCCGAGAAACCAACCACGAGUGAGGAAAAAGAAAUUCACUUAAAUGCUAGAGCCAAAAAUUGCUUGUAUGAAUCUCUUAGCAUGGAUAUUUUUAAUCAAGUAUUUACCUUGAAAACUGCUAAUGAGAUUUGGCUAAAAUUGCAUGAGCUCCAUGACGGCACAUCCAAUGUCCGUGAGCAAAAACAUUGCCUAGUCUUAAAUGAGUAUAAUUCUUUUGCUAUGAAAGAUGAUGAGCUUGUUAGAGACAUGUAUUCUCGUUUGAAUCUAAUUAUCAAUGAGCUCAAUUCUAUUGGCAUUAAUAAGCUAGGUGAUGCGGACAUUGUGAGGAAGAUUAUCUCCCUAGUACCACAACGAAAAUAUGGGAGCAUCAUCACUGUCCUUCACAACAUGGAGGACUUGAGUAACAUGACCCCAACCAUUGUAAUUGGAAAAAUCGCGGCUUUUGAGAUGUCGCGAAAAAUGUGUCGGGGAGAGGAGCCAACUUCCUCAAGGCCAUAUGCUUUUGCAUGUGAUGAAAGGAAGGGAAAAAAGAAGGCUCCCACUCCAAGUUCCUCAAGUGAAGAAGAGGAAGAAGAAGAAAUUGAUGAUGAUGAAGAUAAUCAACCAUGCACAUCAUCCUCCGAGGACGAAGAAACAAUCCGACGCGUCGGAAAGGUAAUGGGGAUGAUCCGCAAGAUUAAUCUAAUGGGUGUGCCCCUGCAGGUCGAAGAUCUUCUCUUUAACAUUGACAGGAAAAAGCAAAGGAAGAGAGGAUGCUUCGCAUGUGGGGAGAAGGGCCACUUCAGGAACAACUGUCCAACUAUGGCCGAACCCAAAAAGGAGAGGAGCAAAGGCAAGGCGCUAACAAGUGUUAGAACUUGGGAUGACUCUUCAAGUGAAGAUGAACCUCCAAGGACGCGCAGCCACCGGUCCUCAUCACGCUCAUCACGGUCAUCACACAAAUGCCUUAUGGCAAGAGGUAACAAAAGCAUUCCAUCCUCUAGUGAUGAAAGUAGUAGUGAUGAUGAAGGUGAGGGAAAGCCCUCUCUAGAUGAGCUUGCGGAAGCCGUAGAAUUUUUCCAGGAUGUUUGCACUAAGCAAAAAGCUCAACUUAAAACUUUGAAAAAUAAGUUGAUUAGCUCCCAAAAUGAUUAUAAAGGUUUGCUAGAAAAAUUUGAAACUUUUGCAAACUUAAAUAGUGAUCUGUCAACUAAAAUUGAGCUAUUAGAAUCUAGUGCUCCAUCCACUGCUACCGAUGAUAGCCUUGUUAAAAAGAAUGAAAAACUUAAGGCUAAGUUAGCUAGCUCCCAAGAAGCUAUUGAAAAUUUGCUAGAGAAAAUGGAAAUUCUUAGCAUACACAAUAAUGAGCUAACUACUAAGCUAGAAAACAUUGGUAGUACCCCUGCAGCAUCUUUAGUUGAAAUACCUGAAAUAAUUAAGAAAGAUGCUUCUACUUCCUGCUUUGAUUUAAUUGAUGAUUCUAACUCCUGCAACCAAGUCGUUGUUGAGAAUAUUGUUGUAGAGAAAUGUUCGGAUGAGGUUGCAAAGGAAAAUGAACAAUUAAAGCAAGAAGUGGCUCGCCUUGGAAAGGCUUUGUAUGACAAGAAAGGCAAAGCCAAACAAAUCCGACCUCCACAGGAUAACACCACUGCGGGAGUGAACAAGCCUGUAGAGGGAGAAACUGUGAUUUGUAGGCUAUGCCACAUGGAAGGCCACAAGUCUUUCCAAUGCAAGAUGAUGAUCAGGGAUAAUCAAAGGCAAAAGCUCAAGCAAAAGCCAUCAAGCAAAAUCUCCAGCACCUACAUCAAAAAGGUGAACAAAAAGGAUGCUACACCAUAUUUGAUCAAGAAGAAAAAGAAUGGAAAGGUGAUAGCAAUCAAGGCCAACAAGCAAGGCAACAAAGGAAAGGGGGCCAAACGCAUCUGGGUGCCAAAGGAAAUAAUUUCAACCAUGAAAAGCACCAAAAAGGUUUGGAUCCCAAAAGGGAAGUGAGUGGACCGAAGGUCUGCGGGAAAUUUGGAGACUUGGCAAAGAUGGGAUGUAUAUCAUGGGAUACAUCAUAAUGGAUAGAGUUUAUUGCCAAGUGGAUUAGUAAAAGACUUUGGACCCAAAUUUCCCCUCCCAUGACUAAGGUAACUAGUUUUAUUGUAUUUCUCGUUUUUAGAUAUGCGUAUCUAUUUAUCUUUUAUCUAGUUUACCUUUCUUGCCUAGUAUUACAUUUGUUAUGUACUUUUGUUCAAAAUCAUGCAUACUAGGUAAAUCAUAUGGUAGGAUUGCUAGUUUUUAAAUUCAUAUACUUAAGCAAACCUACAUGGCUUAAAAUGUUUAGUUAAAGCACGGCACAUAGCUUUUAUAUCACUCCAUAGUAAAUGAUGCAUCAAUUGAAAAUUUUGAUUUCUACAAAGUGUAUCAUUUAACUUAUAUGUGCCAAAGUUUGGAUUAUGGAUAAUUUGCCCCUCUUGAUAUCAAAUCAAAGUGCAUGUCUCCUACAAGUAUUCAAAACUUGUAUGCACACCUUAAGGGGGAGGUUACUCUAUAAUCUAACACUUUGAGACUAACACCUUUUCAAGUCUAUUUCAUGUGAUAGUCUCAUUGUAAGGAAAAUGAAGUCCCCGGAGAAAGACAACAAUCUUCCACUGCGAAAUCUCCAAGAACUCUCAUGUCUCUCAAGCUCGCCAUUGAUCUUCAAUUGCUAUCUUUUGAGACUACAUUCAGUAUCAUUUACAUGUCUUCUCCAAUAUUUGAUUAGACUAUAUUUCAUAUCAUAUGCUUCCAUGUUGCUAAAAAUGCAUAAGUAGUUAACUCAUAUUCUGUUACCUAUGCAUAAGGGAAGUUAGUCUUUUCGAACCAUGUCUUGCACCUCUAAUUUUUCACAUGCUUUUUCCUAAGUAGAGGAUCUCUGUCAGGGGGAGUAUUUCUUCAUCUCUAAAAAGGGGGAGAAACUUCUUUCUAAAGAGAACACUCAUUUAGGGGGAGUUCCUUUCAACUGGUAUCAUUCAUAUGGUUUAUUUUAAUAUCCUUCUAGUGAUAUCAUUUGAUACAAUUCUUGUUGAGGGCAAGCUUUUAUUUACUUCCUACAUGCUUUUAAUGUCUUCCUUUUCGGUGGUUGAUGCCAAAGGGGGAGAAGUUUAGGGACCAAAGCAAUGAAAACUUUAUCAAACACCAAACACCACCAAUUUAAAAUUUUAUCUAUAAAUGGUUUUUCAAGUGGUUUUGGUUAUUUGGUCCAAAUAUAGGAAGUAAGUGAAUUAUGGAGUUAGGGGGAGGCUUAAAUCCAUAAUUUCACAUUGUGGGGAUAAUCAUGCAUCUUAGCAAGUAGAUUGCAUAUUUUAAUUUUCAAAUACUUGUAUUAUUUGCUUGCUUUGGUUGUGUUGUCAUCAAUCACCAAAAAGGGGGAGAUUGUAAGGAAAAUGGACCCCGGGCCAAUUGGCUAAGUAAGUUUUGGUGUUUGAUGAUUAACACAAUCUGUGGACUAACAAGUUUUCUAGUGUUUAUGAUUGUAGUUCACAGGAUGCAAGAACUACUUGGACUAAGGAAUUGAGGAAAGCAACACCUCAAAAGAAGACAUUAAGAAGAUCAAGAAAAGUCCAAGAAAGGAGGCGUGUGCUGCCUGCGGACUGUCUGUGCGUGGAGCACCGGACUGUCCGGUGGCACACCGGACUGUCCGGUGCCCACACACCAGACUGUCCGGUGCACCUAGGAACUGCAGCCCAACGGCUAGUUCCAGGUGGCAACCGGAGCCUACGGCGCCAACGGUCACCUGCUCUGACAGGAGUCGGACAGGCAACGGCUAGGCGCACCGGACAGGCUACAGUGCGCUGUCCGGUGCACCACCGGACUGUCCGGUGUGCCGCAGAGAGCAGCAGCUUUUCUCCAACGGCUACAAUUGUGUUGGGGGCUAUAAAUACACCCCCAACCGGCCAUUCUCAAGUGUGGGAGCCCAAGCAACAUAUCAAGGCAUAUUGUAGACAUUUCCAAGUGCUCAAACACCCAAGUGCUUAAUAGAAUCACUCGGUGAUUAGCGUAGGUGCUUUGCGAAGUGCUUAGGUUAGUUAGACCGCAUUAGCGCUUGCUCUAGGUGAAUCCUAGUUAGUUGAGUGAGUUUAGACAAACCACACAACCCCUCGGCUCUUGCGCGGGCCGUUGUAAUUGUACCGAGUGGGGCGAGAGUCUUGCGAGACCGUGACAACCGUGUUUGUGUCACAGCCGCCACCGUGUACCGGAGGGAACGAGGCCCACGGCGUUUCAGCCGGAAGCUCGAUAGUUGAGACGGCGGGGAGCGUCCGAGAGGAGCCGGAAGCGGAGCACCACUUGCGCGUGGAGAAGGCCCGCGGCUCUCUACGGAGUUACUCGACCGAGGUGCUUGGCCCUCGCGUGGGCUUCCCUUCGCAUAGGGGCACCAACGAGGAUUAGUCGGGACCUUGCACGGUUCCGGAUACCUCGGUAAAAAUACCGGCGUCUUCCACGAGAGUUUGCUUCUCUACUUAGCUCUUUACAUUCCGCAUUUAUAUUAAGCAUUUAAGUUUCAAUCUUGUAGUCAUACUUAUUUAGUGUAGAUUGAAACUUAGCCUUUGCGGUAGAGAUAGCAACACUUAGACAAAACCUAGUUUGCACAUUCUAGUUUUGAUUAUUUGCAUAGGUUUUGCUCUAGGGAUUUAAUUGUGGCCUAGUUUAGCGAAAGUUUUAGAAGUCCUAAUUCACCCCCCCCCUCUUAGGCGUCACCCGUUUCCUACAAGAAGGAAGUCUCCACAAAUGAUGAAAAGAAGAAUACUACGAUGACACCACCACAGAUAGUAAGAUCUGUCAAAUUGGUAUAACAAAAGGUACAUUCUAUGUGGUGGUAAGUAUUCUUAGGCAUAAGUUAAUUCAUUGCAAAUUUGUCAUGCUUUGACCAUGAUAUGUAAUUUACUCCUCAUAAG